GGUCUUCUGGUUAAAUGUUUCAUGGCUCUCCACAGUGAUAUUUUUGAAAAAUAUGUGAAGAAUUGGAUUGCAAUAGCUGCACCAUUCCAAGGUGCUCCUGGAUAUAUUACCUCUUCAUUAUUGAACGGAACAUCAUUUGUGCAUGGAUGGGAAGAGAGGUUUUUCAUAUCCAAAUGGAGUAUGCAUCAACUGUUGAUCGAGUGUCCGUCAAUAUAUGAAUUAAUGGGGUGUCCUGAUUUCCACUGGGAGCAUGCACCAGUUCUAGAAAUUUGGAAGGAAAAAUCUAACAGUAAUGGAGAGUCCUCCGUUGUACUCGAGUCUUACUCUCCACUGGAAGCUGUAUCAGUGUAUGAGUUAGCUCUUGCAAACAACAAGGUUACUUAUAAUGGAGAAAAAAUUUCUCUGCCGUUCAAUCUGGAACUCUUGAAAUGGGCUAAUAAGACCCGAGAGAUAUUGUGCCAUGCAAAGGUUCCUGAUAAAGUUAAGUUCUACAACAUCUAUGGGACCAAUUAUGAGACGCCUCAUAGUGUCUGUUAUGGAAGUCAGAAUGCACCCAUUUCUGAUCUUCAACAAUUACCAUUUGUCCAGUCUAACUACAUAUCGGUUGAUGGAGAUGGUACAGUUCCAACAGAAUCUGCAAAGGCUGAUGGGCUUAAAGCAGAAGCUAGGGUUGGAGUCCCUGGGGAUCACAGAGGAAUCGUCUGUGACCGCCACGUGUUUAGAGUGAUCAAGCACUGGUUGCGAGCAGAUCAUGAUCCUUAUUACAAUCCAAUCAACGAUUACGUUAUCCUACCCACUUCAUUUGACAUCGAAAGGCACCAUGAGAAAGGUUUGGAUGUAACUUCUCUCAGAGAGGAGUGGGAAAUUGUUUCAGAAAGCCAGGAUGGCAAAGAGAAUGCGGAUAGCGGAAAGACAAAGGUGGGUUCUAUAUCUGUCUCUCAUGUUGGAGAUGACAAUACUACGUGGGAAGAAGCCCAUGCGACUCUUAUUGUCCACCCUAAAAGUGAAGGUAAGCAACAUGUAGAGUUGAAUGCCAUGUCUGUUUCUGCAAGGGCUUGAAACUUAUAUUACCAUAUGGUCAAAGGGGCUUUAUUGUUUUAUAUCCAUCUGUCUAUUCCUCCUGAUUUCUUCUGUAUAUAGAAAGUAAUUGUGCUCCUGAACAGAACCAUGUAUGUAUGUAUAUAUAUGUGCAUAUUAACGUUAUCAAGUAUGUGAUGUGGA
rnacentral:misc_RNA from 1 species